rnacentral:rRNA from 1 species
GGAAUAUUGGACAAUGGGCGCAAGCCUGAUCCAGCCAUGCCGCGUGUGUGAAGAAGGCCUUUUGGUUGUAAAGCACUUUAAGCGAGGAGGAGGCUCCUUUAGUUAAUACCUAAAGAGAGUGGACGUUACUCGCAGAAUAAGCACCGGCUAACUCUGUGCCAGCAGCCGCGGUAAUACAGAGGGUGCGAGCGUUAAUCGGAUUUACUGGGCGUAAAGCGUGCGUAGGCGGCUUUUUAAGUCGGAUGUGAAAUCCCUGAGCUUAACUUAGGAAUUGCAUUCGAUACUGGAAAGCUAGAGUAUGGGAGAGGAUGGUAGAAUUCCAGGUGUAGCGGUGAAAUGCGUAGAGAUCUGGAGGAAUACCGAUGGCGAAGGCAGCCAUCUGGCCUAAUACUGACGCUGAGGUACGAAAGCAUGGGGAGCAAACA